UCAAUUUUCCCCCAAAAUUUUAAAACCCCGCCCUUGUAAAAUUUCCCCCAAAAUUUUUAUACAGCUUGAAUUGUUACCAAAAAAACAAGAAGAACGAAAUGGCAAACAGAAAUUAAAAAAUACAGAGAAUAAUUAUUCUAGAGAGAGGAGGGAGACUCGAGAAAUUCAUCAAUUAGGUCGACGGUUCUUCAUCGCAAUUCACAAUUCGCAAUUCGCAAUUCACAAUUCGCAGUUCGCAGUCACAGUUCUAGGGUUUAGAGGAUCUGCAAUUCGCAAGUGGAGGGUUUAGAAGGUCUGAAACAUCACCAAGAAGAAGAAAGGGGACGACGAAGGAAGGAGACAGAUCAGCCCAUUCAAGCUGUAAUCCCGUACAACAGAUUCAAAAACUUUCGCAAGGAUGCCAUUUCGAGAUGACCUUUCUCUAGGUCUUAUAAUGAAUGCAAAAGGCUUCAUUGAGUUGGCAUUAUUGAAUCACAAAAUGAAAGAUAGCGGGAUGUCUGAUGAGGGUUUGUGAUAAUGAUCAUAUCAGUGGUGUUCAUGACAGGAGUAUUGUCGCCAGUUGUAAAGAUUCUUUAUGAUCCAUCAAGAAGAUAUAUGGAUUUUAAGAGGACCAUAAGGCACAAUAAGAGAGAUGAAGAGCUACGCAUUUUGGCAUGUGUACAUAGUGCAGACAAUGUAAGGGAAGUUAUGAGUGUGGUGCAUGUCUCCAAUCCCACGAAAGCAAGUCCUAUUAAUUAACUUAACAGUCAUGCAUCUGACAAGGCUAUUAACUCGGCAGUGUAUCUGCGGGAAGACAGAAAACUUAUUAACCAGAUGAUGAGUCAACAUCUGAGUAUGAUGGAGGCGAGAAUGAGGAUGAAACUACUAGCAACAUGAAAAUUGAAAAUUUUUCACCUGUCAUAACAAAAAGGAGCAUGGUGAGCUAAAUGGAAGAGAAAUGCAGAUCUAGCAAAUGAGACGGUGGAGGCUCUUGUUUGUUUUUGAGUCAUUUGAUUUUCAUUUUAUGUAUUUUUUCAUUAAAAACACUAAAUUAAUUAGUGAAUAACUAUUUUAUAAUGCAUGUGUCCUAUGGGCACUAAUAUUGUAAUAUUACUCUUAAAGUCAAUGAAAAUCUUUUGUUAUUGA